ensembl:snRNA U6 U6 spliceosomal RNA
GUGCUUGUUUCAGCAGCACAUAUACCAAAAUUGGAAUAAUACAGAGAUGAUUAGCAUGGCCCCUGAGCAAGGAUGAUAUGCAAAUUCGUGAAGCAUUCCAUAUCUAA